AUUGAACGCUGGCGGCGUGCCUAACACAUGCAAGUCGAGCGGUAACAGGUGUAGCAAUACAUGCUGACGAGCGGCGAACGGGUGAGUAAUGCUUCGGAAUCUGCCCAUGUAGUGGGGAAUAACCAGCCGAAAGGUUGGCUAAUACCGCAUACGACCCUUGCCCACAAGGCAAAGGUGAAAGCAGGGGAUCGCAAGACCUUGCGCUAUUGGAUGAGCCGAAGUCGGAUUAGCUAGUUGGUAGGGUAACGGCCUACCAAGGCGACGAUCCGUAGCUGGUCUGAGAGGACGACCAGCCACACUGGGACUGAGACACGGCCAGACUCCUACGGGAGGCAGCAGUGGGAAUAUUGGACAAUGGGGCAACCUGAUCCAGCGACGCCGCGUGUGUGAAGAAGGCUGCGGGUU
rnacentral:rRNA from 1 species